UGUGAAAUUUACACAGUAUACCUGCUUGAAAAUCUUGCUGCUAGAUCCAUUAUAAGAAACAAACACAUACCCAGCACACCUACACUCUUUCUUUGAAGCAAAAGAUUUGAAUUACUGUAUUACAAAUACUCAAGAAAACAUUUAUUCAAGUAUACUAAGUAAUUGCAUUAUACUGAGAAGAUGAAUAAAAUAUAUUUCUAUUUUAUUUGCUCAUCUGAACACAAAAUGCUCAAAAGGUGAGCUUUUGUGAAAGCAGUUUGUUCAUCAUCUAAAUUUCAACACUUUUUGAACAUUUUUCCAUACAGAUUUCAUGAUUUUAAAGCUAGAGAUCUGAAAAUUUGAGACAGAAUAGCUAGGUUCUUCUCCUUAUUAGUCCCCUACCGGUUUACCGGAGGGGACUUUAGGUUUACCGUCUGUCAGUCCGUCCGUCCACAAAACUGGAUCCCGCGAUAACGCAAAAAGUACUGAAAAUAUUUUUAUGAAACUUGAUAUAUGGAUAGAUGGUAACAAAUAGACUGAAAAUAUGCCAAAUUUUACACAUAAACUGAAUCCAGUGAUAAUGCAAAAAGAAAUGGAAAUAUUUUUAUGAAACUUGACAUAUGCGUAGAUGGCAGUCUGGAGAUUAUGCCUGUCUUUAUCUUUUCUUCCUAUUUUGAAAAAAUUGGUUGCCAUGGCAACAAAUAGGCAUAAAACAUGGUCAAUAUAACAAUAUUUGUGAUAAGUCAAAAAGAGCUGAAAAUUUUUAUGAAAUUGCAUCUUUAUUUCAAGAAUUAUCUCCUCUUUAAGAAUUUUGCUUUUAAAAAUGUUAUAUUUUGGUAACAGGGAUGUUUCAAAUAUUAACUUUAGAGUGUCCUUCAGUUCGUCUGUCUGUCUGUUCAUGGAAACUGUUUCCUGUGAUCACUUUUAAAGAACUUUUCCAACAAAUUUACUUACAAUAGAGAAAAAUUAAAACAUUAGUGAAUGGCCAUCACAUGGGUCAUCUCUGACGAAAAACUAGGUCACAGGAGCUAAAGAUAGAAAAAAUUUGUUAACUCUAGUGGCUACUGUUUUGAUCCAAAUAACCUGGAAAUUUGACUGCAAGUUUGUUUUGAUGAUUUCUAGGUCAAGUUCGAACAUGGGUCACCUGGGGUAAAAAACUAUGUCACAUUGCCCAGAUAUAAAAAAACAAACUUGUUAACACUCCAGUGGUCACAUUUUUGACUCAAUUGUCAUCAAACUUGGUGAGGAUGCUUGUCUAAGUAAUUGCUCAGAUGAGUUUGAUUGGUCAGGUGAGAGAUCAAGGGCCAUCUUGUUCCCCAAAGCUUUGAUAGUGACAUGUUGCAUUGCCUUGUGAACUCCUACAAAAAUGGUAGUAAUCAUGCCCCUUGGGUUAAUAUUGGUCUAGUGCUGGUGGUUGUAUGAUUUAUAUAGACUUAUGUAAGAAAACACAUUAAAGUCUUAUUGUGUGAAGCUAAAAUGCCCAUAGCUUAGUUAUUUAGUAUGUAGCAUUGUCCUGUGGACUCCCUCAAAACUAAAAUUAAUCUUGCCCAUUGGGUCAAUACUGCCCCUAUCCUCAAAUUCAUGCAAGUCAGAUUAAAGAGUAUAAAGCUAUAUCUUACGAAAUAUAUUUAUAAAAUUUAUCAACAGUAAAAUUAUAUUUAUUUAUUCCAUAAUCUUACGGUUGAUUCUCAAAUUAGUUGUAACAUAUUUUCUCUGUUAUUUAACACAUAAGUUAUAGAAAGAGCAUCGAAACACGAGUCUAUGUGAUUUUCUGAUUUGUACGAGGGUUCUUUCUCUUUUGUAUCAUAGUCAAACAUAAAAACACUCUCCCUGUUGUCACAAUAUGAAACCCCGGAGAAAAGUAACCAAUGAACAAGCAUCUAAAUAUAAUAUUUCUGUCGCUUUCCCUUUCUCUGCCGUCACAAUAAGUAAACCCCAUCAAAAAUGAGCCAAUCAAUGGGGAUGCUCUGGAGUGCGGGUAACUAAUACCUGCACUCCAGUUAACGCACAGUGCAUGUAUAUGUAUACGAUUUAACUCUGACACAUUUUCAACAGAAAGGUCCCCAAACUAUGAUACAAAUGUAUGUAAAAAUAAAAUGUUUCGGAACAUUAUAACAUUACAAAAUGUAUAUUUUUCUACUAUUUUAAGGCGUGUUUUAUCCAUGUGCAUGCGCCAUUCAAUUUAUGGCAAUUUUAUUUCAUACAAGCAUUUUGGAAUUACCCUUGUCCGUCCAUUCUCUUUUGUGUCGCACGUAGCUGAAAAGUAUUUAACCUAGAGUCAUAAAACUUUACAGGAAUGUUGACCAGCAUGUGUUGUUGUGCACCUGGGUAUUUUCGUGUGGAUAUAUUUAGAAUUUUUAGAGUUACUGCCCUUGAGUUAGUAAAAACUUACAAUUUUCCACUUGUGUCAAUUGUAACUCAAAAAGUAUUUGACCUAGAGUCAUGAAAUUUUACAGGAAUGUUGAUCAGCAAGUGAAGUUGUGCACCUUGGGUUUCGCUUGUGGAUCUAUUUAGUAUUUUUAGAUUUAUUGCCCUUAAAUUAGCAUAAAUUUGCAAUUUCCAACUCGUGUCACACGUAACUCAAAAAGUAUUUUACCUCGAGUCAUGAAACCUUACAGGAAUGUUGCUCAGCAUGUGAAGUUGUGCACCUUUGGUUUCGCUUGUGGAUGUAUUCUGUUUUGUAAGAGUAAUUAGCCUUGACUUAGUAAAAAUUUGCAAUUUUCAACUUGUGUCGCAUGUAGCUCAAAAAGUAUUUAACAUAGGGUCAUGAAACUUUACAGGAAUGUUGAUUAGCAUCUGUAGUUGUGCACCUGGUUAUUUUUGUGUGGAUAUAUUUAGAAUUUUUAGCUCGACUAUUCGAUAAGAAUAAGUAGAGCUAUUGUAGUCACCCGAGCGUCGGCGUAACCACUUACGUGUAAUACCUCAAAUAUUUUCAAAGUCCAUUGACAUAUGGCUUUGAAACUUUGCACACUUGUUCACCAUCAUGACCCCAACCUGUAGACAGGAGGAAGUAACUCUAUCAAGCAUUUUGACAGAAUUAUGCCCCUUUUUCGACUUAGAAUUUACGUUAAAGUUUUUGUAAUAGUUCAAAUAUUUUCAAAGUCCAUUGACAUAUGGCUUUGAAACUUUACACACUUGUUCACCAUCAUGACCCCAACCUGUAGACAGAUGGAAGUAACUCUAUCAAGCAUUUUGACAGAAUUAUGCGCCUUUUUCGACUUAGAAUUUACGUUAAAGUUUUUGUAAUAGUUCAAAUAUUUUCAAAGUCCAUUGACAUAUGGCUUUGAAACUUUGCACACUUGUUCACCAUCAUGACCCCAACCUGUAGACAGGAGGAAGUAACUCUAUCAAGCAUUUUGACAGAAUUAUGCCCCUUUUUCGACUUAGAAUUUACGUUAAAGUUUUUGUAAUAGUUCAAAUAUUUUCAAAGUCCAUUGACAUAUGGCUUUGAAACUUUGCACACUUGUUCACCAUCAUGACCCCAACCUGUAAACAGGAGGAGGUAACUGUAUCAAGCAUUUUAUUUUACUAUCAAGCACUAAGAAUAGUCGAGCGUUGCUGUCCUACCGACAGCUCUUGUUAGAGUUACUGCCCUUGAGUUAGUAAAAACUUACAAUUUUCCACUUGUGUCAAUUGUAACUCAAAAAGUAUUUGACCUAGAGUCAUGAAAUUUUACAGGAAUGUUGAUCAGCAUGUGAAGUUGUGAACCUGGGGUUUCGCUUGUGGGUUUAUUCUGUUUUUUCAGAGUUAUUGUCCUUGACUAAGUAAAAAUUUGCAAUUUUCUACUUGUGUCUUAUGUAGCUCAAAAAGUAUUUGACCUAGGGUCAUGAAACUUUACAGGAAUGUUGAUCAGCAUGUGUACUUGUGUACCUGAUGUUUCGCUUUUGGAUUUAUUCUGUUUUUUUCAGAGAUUUUGCCCUUGACUUAGUAAAAGUUUGCAAUUUUCAACUUGUGUCACACGUAGCUCUAAAACUAUUUGACAUAGGGUCAUGAAACUUUACGGGAAUGUUGAUCAUCAUGUGAAGUUGUGCAUCUGAGGUUUCGCUCUUGAAUUUAUACAUUUUGUCAGAGUUUCUGCCCUUGACUUAAUGAAAAUUUGCAAUUUUCAAUUUGUGUCGUUCGUAGCUCAAAAUGUAUUUAACCUGGAGUCAUGAAACUAAAAAAGGAAUGUUGGUCAUCAUAUGUAGUUGUGCACCUUGGGUUUCGCCUGUGGAUUUAUCCAGAAUUUGUAGAGUUAUUGCCCUUGACUUUGUAAAAACUGUUUCAUUAUGUUGUGUUAUUUGUUCCUUAAGUGCUUGAGUUAGAAUCAACCAACUUUACAGGAAUAAUGAUCAACUCAACAUCACUGUGAAGCUAUGCACCUGGGACUUUGCAUGUGGAUUUUUUUCAGUUUUGUUAGUUAUUUCUCUUGACUUACUGUAGUAUAAAUUAGCAAUUUUCAGCUUGUUCAUACAUAGCUCAAAAAGUAUUUGACCUGUAGGCCUAAAAGUUUACAAGAAUGUUAGUCAGCAUUAGUACUUAUGCACCUUGGGGUUCACUUGUGGAUUCAUUCAGUAUUUGUAAAGGUCUUGCCCUUUACUUAGUCAAAGAUUUUUAGUUUUCAAUUUGUGGCACAUGUAGCCCAAAAAAACAAUUGACUUAGAGUCAUAAGAUUGACAAAACAGUGGAGUGUGGGGGGUACCUGUGUCCUAUGGACACAUUUCUAGUUUCUUCUUUUUUUUAAUUCAACCAAUAAUUUUUGAAGCAGAUAAAGCUUUAUACAUUUGAAUUCUACAUUUUCCAUAUUCUGUUUCAACAAUUGUUUCUUUGUCUUUUGUGUGUGACAUUCAUGCCCCUCAAUGGCCAAGGUCAGGGUCACAUGUAGAGGUCAAAGGUCAUUAAUAUAUAUGAGAAUGUGUGUAUGGACAAUUUUGUAGUCUUUAGUUGAGGUAUUUUUUCACAAAUGUUCACAAUUAUUUGACUGAGUAUUGCCAGCAUAAUUUAAGUUAAACUUCAUCAGCAAUGAUUAAAUGUAUAGUGUUUCUUUUUGAGCAUAUCUUCUAUAUGCAACAACGAAUCUGAGUAUUUUUCUGACACAAAUGUUGACCAUGAAACAGUUCUCUAAUCAAAGGUCAAGGUCGAUCUGUGCGUUCAGAGGAACAGGUCUCUAAUCAAAGGUCAAGGUCAAUCUUUGAGUUCAGAGGAAAACACCUCUCUGUAGUGAAAUUUUAUAUUACAUAGAGGGAUUGUUAUAUGAAUUAGAACAGAUGUUCAACAUUGUAAGUGUUGUGCCCAAAGUUUAGGUCCCUUUUGUCAAGGUAAAGGUCAGGUGUAGAGGUCCAACCGAAAGUCGGAUAAAAAUAUUGUUUAAGUCAUCAUGAACUGUUGAAAUUUAAUGUAAGUGUUUCCAACAAUGAGGUUGAGCAUUAAUUUUGUAAAGGGUGUAUUUUGUGACAAAUUGGCUCUCUUGUUUGCUAACAGUUAACUGCCAGCUACUGUAUGAGUUUACUUUAAAAAUACACAAGUAUAAUAUUGAUAUAGCAAAGAAUAAAGCAAGAAUAUUUAUAAUUUGGUUAUGUGUGGAAUGUCAGGGAAUGAUAGCAUCUAGAAUUUAUCUCUGCAAAUAUUGAGAUUUUAAGAGACUUCCCAGAAAAUAUUCUUAAGCAGUGUAAGAUGACCACCUAGGUCAACUGUUACAGAUACCUUUACCUUACGUUUUUCUUUGAAAAGUGCAUUAAUAUAUUUUACAAAAUAUCUACCUCUUAAAACUUAUAUUUUAUAUCUUUAUAUUUUAUAUCUUAUGGAAUAUAGUAAGCAUGUGUAACAUAGCAUUUCCUUGUCUAAAUGCUUUAAAGGAAUAAUUAUGAAUAAUUUCAAUAUUAUUAAUUAAUCUUACAUUUUUAACAGUUAUGAAAAGAUUUUCAUGUUAAAUAAAUAUUUUUAUAUAAAUUACUUUUAGAUUCUCAACUAAUUUAUUUUGCAACUCUAGUUUAAACAUAUCAAAGUAGUCAUAUUAUCUGAUUCUAACCUUUUUAGCUCACCUGAGCUUGCUCAGGGUGAGCUAUUAGGAUCGGUGAAUGUCCGUCGUCCGUCGUACGUCCACAAUUGCUUGUGAACACUCUAGCGGUCACAUUUUUGAACCAAUCAUCAUCAAACUUUGUCAGGAUGCUUGUUUAGUCAAUUGCUUGGAUGAGUUCGAACAUGGGUCAUCUCCGAUGAAAAUCUAGGUCACAGGAGCUAUAAAUAGAAAAACCUUGUGAACACUCUAGCGGUCACAUUUUUGAACCAAUCAUCAUCAAACUUGGUCAGAAUGCUUGUCUAGUCAAUUGCUUGGAUGAGUUCGAACAUGGGUCAUCUCUGAUGAAAAACUAGGUCACAGGAGCCAAAAAUAGAAAAACCUUGUGAACACUCUAGUGGUCACAUUUUUGACCCAAUCAUCAUCAAACUUAGUCAGGAUGCUUCUCUAGUUGAUAGCUCGGAUGAGUUCAAACAUGGGUCAUCUCGGAUGAAAAAGUAGGUCACCGGAGCUAAAAAUAGAAAAACCUUGUUAACACUCUAGCGGUCACAUUUUUGCAUCAAUCAUCAUCAAACUUGGUCAAGAUGCUUGUCUAGGUGAUAGCUCGGAUGAGUUGGAACAUGGGUCAUCUCGGGUGAAUAAGUAGGUCACCGGUGCUAAAAAUAGAAAAACCUUGUUAACACUCUAGCGGUCACAUUUUUGCAUCAGUCAUCAUCAAACUUGGUCAAGAUGCUUGUCUAGGUGAAAGCUCGGAUGAGUUCGAACAUGGGUCAUCUCGGAUGAAAAACUAGGUCACAGGAGCUAAAAAUAGAAAAACCAUGUUAACACUCUAGAGGUCACAAUUUUGCCUCAAUCAUCAUCAAACUUGGUCAGGAUGCUUGUCUAGGUGAAAGCUCUGAUGAGUUUGAACAUGGGUCAUCUCGGAUGAAAAAGUAGGUCACCGGAGCUAAAGAUAGAAAAACCUUGUUAACACUCUAGCGGUCACAUUUUUGCAUCAAUCAUCAUCAAACUUGAUCAAGAUGCUUGUCUUGGUGAUAGCUCGGAUGAGUUCGAACAUGGGUCAUCUGCGAUGAAAAACUAGGUCACAGGAGCUAAAAAUAGAAAAACCUUGUUAACACUCUAGUGGUCACAAUUUUGACUCAAUUGUCAUCAAACUUGGUCAGGAAACUUGUCUAGGUCAUUGCUGGGAAUAAAUUGAACAUGGGUCAUCUCGGAUGAAAAAGUAGGUCACCGGAGCUAAAAAUAGAAAAAUCUUGUUAACACUCUAGUGGCUACUGUUGUGAUCCAAAUAUUCUGUUAAUUGGUCUGAAAGUUUGUUUUGAUGAUUUCUAAGUCAAGUUAGAACAUGGGUCAUCUUAGAUGAAAAACUAAGUCACACCGCCCAAAUAUGGAAAAACCUUGUUAACAUUCUAGUGGUCACAUUUUCGACUUCAUCAAACUUGGUCAGGAUGCUUGUCUAGGUAAUUGCUUGGAUGAGUUCGAAAUCGCAUGUGGAACUAGGUCACCGGAGCUAAAAAUAGAAAAAUCUUGUUAACACUCUAGUUGCUACUGUUUUGAUCCAAGUAUCCUGGAAAUUGGUCUGAAAGUUUGUUUUGAUGAUUUCUAGGUCAAGUUUUAAUAUGUGUCACCUGGGUAAAAAACUAGGUCGCACUGCUCAAAUAUGGAUAAUCCUUGUUAACACUGUAGUGGUCACAUUUUUAGCUCGACUUUUCUAUGAAAAGGGGAGCUAUCCUACUCGCCCCGGCGUCGGCGUCGGCGUUAGCGUUAGCGUUGGCGUCACACCUUGGUUAAGUUUUUCGUACCACCCCACUUUAUUUCAGAAGUAUUACAAGUAUGGCUUUGAAACUUACCAUACUUGUUCACCAUCAUAACCUCCAUCUACAGACAAGAGUACAUAACUCUGUCAAGGUUUUUGACAGAAUUAUGGCCCUUUUUUGA